CGGACGGGGGAGUAAUGUCUGGGAAACUGCCUGAUGGAGGGGGGUAACUACUGGAAACGGUAGCUAAUACCGCAUAACGUCGCAAGACCAAAGAGGGGGACCUUCGGGCCUCUUGCCAUCGGAUGUGCCCAGAUGGGAUUAGCUAGUAGGUGGGGUAACGGCUCACCUAGGCGACGAUCCCUAGCUGGUCUGGGAGGAUGACCAGCCACACUGGAACUGAGACACGGUCCAG
rnacentral:rRNA from 1 species